UUGAACGCUGGCGGCAUGCCUUACACAUGCAAGUCGAACGGCAGCACGGGAGCAAUCCUGGUGGCGAGUGGCGAACGGGUGAGUAAUAUAUCGGAACGUGCCCGGUCGUGGGGGAUAACGUAGCAAAGCUACGCUAAUACCGCAUACGAUCUAUGGAUGAAAGCGGGGAUCGCAAGACCUCGCGCGAUUGGAGCGGCCGAUAUCAGAUUAGGUAGUUGGUGAGGUAAAGGCUCACCAAGCCGACGAUCUGUAGCUGGUCUGAGAGGACGACCAGCCACACUGGGACUGAGACACGGCCCAGACUCCUACGGGAGGCAGCAGUGGGGAAUUUUGGACAAUGGGCGCAAGCCUGAUCCAGCAAUGCCGCGUGCAGGAUGAAGGCCUUCGGGUUGUAAACUGCUUUUGUACGGAACGAAACGGUGAGCUCUAAUACAGUUUGCUAAUGACGGUACCGUAAGAAUAAGCACCGGCUAACUACGUG
rnacentral:rRNA from 1 species